rnacentral:snoRNA from 1 species
UACUAAAGACUUUUCAGGGAUCAUUUCUAUAGUUGCUUACUAUAGAUGUUUCCCUAAACGUGUAGAGCACCAGAAACCGUAAGUUCUCUCUUAAGUGUGAAGCCGGCUCUUGGUGUUCUCUGCAACUGCCAUUUGGCAUUGAUCAGCUUCUCUUCCUUUGUGAAAGUUAGAGGGAGAGAGGAUGCAGUCUUACUGGU